GCCCUUGUAGCUCAGCUGGUAGAGCACCACCAUGGUAAGGUGGGGGUCAUCGGUUCAAAUCCGGUCGAGGGCU
rnacentral:tRNA from 1 species